GUUGGGGUUGUCCGCGGUGGCGACCGAAUCGGCAAUAUCACCGGCAACGAUGUACGAUGACGACGGAGAGGACGAAGACACCGGUAACAGAAUUAACCUCAUAAUGUUACCAUGCUGGAUUGGGAGGCUUUGGAAUAUAUAUAUAUUUCGGUAUAAAGGAACCUUACUUGCCGUAACUGCUCUAAAUGGAGAUGGUGGCAUGUUUCCCGUAGCAAUUUGCAUAUGCGGGACGGAAAAUGAGAGUAAUUGGGAAUGGUUUUAGAAUGCAUUCGAGACAUUAUCUUCAAUGAUGAAGAUCCAUAUACUCCAGAUGAUGAACUGGUGUUAAUCUCUGAUAGGGACAAAGGACUUCAGAAUUCCGUGAAGAAAUGCUUUCCAUGGUCACAUCACUCUUAUUGUAUUCGUCAUCUUUUGGCUAAUUUUAAGAAUAACUUAUCGAAAAAAGGCAUUAUACCACCUUUACGAGAUGAAUGUGUGCAAAUUAUGAAGAGGGCCGCUUAUACAUACACUUCUCGUUCCUAUAUCAAUGAAUGCAACGAGCUACAGAACAAAUCAAAGAUCGCCUAUUAUGAAAUGUUGAGGAUGAGUCCAGAAAAUUGGGCUAAUUGUUAUUUUCAUGGGGAAGAGAUAUGGAUGGUUGACAUCAAACAUAGCGGAGUCAUUCAAUUCUUGGAUCAAAGAAGCUCGUUAUUUGCCAAUUACCCAAACAAUUGAUAAUAUCCGCAAGAAAAUGAUGAGGAUGAGUUUUAAAAGGCGGGAGGCAUCCCACAAGUGGACCAUAAUAUUUGUUCCUAUUGUGGAAGAGCACUUUAUUCAUAUUAAUGAGCAAUCACGUUGUCUUUCUGCAAUUCCUUCUACUACCGGAAGGUACGAGGUGUAUGAUUUUCCACCGUUGAAGUAGAUUUGAAUGAACGUACAUGCACUUGUCAUGAAUGGCAAGUUGUCGGGCUACCUUGCAAACAUGCGACGACGAUUAUUCGACAGGAUAUGGACACCCUUUACUCCUAUAUUUCCCACUACUUUAGUGUGGAGACAUACCGCAAAUGCUACUCCUUUCCGAUAUACCCAAUUCCUGAUGAUAACAAGCCAUAUAUAGAUGAUGAAAAUAUGGUGAUUCGGCCACCAACAACUUCAAUUCUUCGUGGAAGACCAAGGACAAAGCGCAUUCCUUCGGGAUUGAAUCCGGGCAAAGAGUUAAAAUGUAGCAGAUGUUAACAGUAUGGUCACAACCGUAGAACAUGUAGACAGCCUAUUGCAGACUAGAUAUAGUCUACGCUAUACUUUUGGUUAGAAGACAUGCUAUACUUUUGGAUAGAAGACAUGCUAUACUUUUGUCGUGUAAGACAUGCUUUUGGAUAGAAGAUACGCUAUACUUUUGGAUAGAAAACAUGUUAUACUUUUGUCAUGUAAGACAUGCUAUACUUUUGGAUGUAAGACAUGCUAUACUUUUUUGAUCAAUGAAA